GAUGAACGCUAGCGGGAGGCCUAACACAUGCAAGCCGAGCGGGAUUUGUUGGUUAGCUUGCUAACUAACAAUGAGAGCGGCGUACGGGUGCGUAGCACGUGUGCAACCUGCCUUUAUCUGGGGGAUAGCCUUUCGAAAGGAAGAUUAAUACCCCAUACCAUAUUGAUUGGCAUCAGUUAAUAUUGAAAGCUCCGGCGGAUAGAGAUGGGCACGCGUAAGAUUAGCUAGUUGGUGAGGUAACGGCUCACCAAGGCUGCGAUCUUUAGGGGGCCUGAGAGGGUGAUCCCCCACACUGGUACUGGGACACGGACCAGACUCAUACGGGAGGCAGCAGUGAGGAAGAUUGGACAAGGGAUGAGAGCCUGAUCCAGCCAUCCCGCGUGAAGGACUAAGGACCUAUGGAUUGUAAACUUCUUUUAUACAGGGAUAAACCUACUCUCGUGAGGGUAGCUGAAGGUACUGGAUGAAUAAGCACCGGCUAACUCCGUG
rnacentral:rRNA from 1 species